ACGACUACGACGCCGGCAGGUACAGC
rnacentral:piRNA from 1 species